rnacentral:rRNA from 1 species
UAGGGAAUCUUCCACAAUGGACGCAAGUCUGAUGGAGCAACGCCGCGUGAGUGAAGAAGGUUUUCGGAUCGUAAAACUCUGUUGUUAGAGAAGAACGUGUGUGAGAGUAACUGUUCAUGCAGUGACGGUAUCUAACCAGAAAGCCACGGCUAACUACGUGCCAGCAGCCGCGGUAAUACGUAGGUGGCAAGCGUUGUCCGGAUUUAUUGGGCGUAAAGGGAACGCAGGCGGUCUUUUAAGUCUGAUGUGAAAGCCUUCGGCUUAACCGAAGUCGUGCAUUGGAAACUGGGAGACUUGAGUGCAGAAGAGGAGAGUGGAACUCCAUGUGUAGCGGUGAAAUGCGUAGAUAUAUGGAAGAACACCAGUGGCGAAAGCGGCUCUCUGGUCUGUAACUGACGCUGAGGUUCGAAAGCGUGGGUAGCAAACAGG